UGCCUGGAGACCCGGAGGAGGGCCCAGCUGCUGCGGGAGCCCGUGGGGCUCAGCCCAGCCGGGAAGAGCACUGCAAGUGCAGGCCCCGUGCCCCUCCUGGGGUGCCCGGCCUGGCUGAAUCCCACCUGCCCCACUGAACCAUGACCACAACAGACGAUCAAGCCGCUGCAAUCUCAGGUCUCUGUGACGUGGCAAAGGGCACUGCACACUUUCAGACUGGGAGGGAGAGAGAUGCCGCACACAGACGGAGAGAAGCAGAGCAGCCGGAGAGUCGGGGAGGCAGACAUGGGCCGAGGCGGGACAGAGGGACAAAGAGAAGCUGAGAAGGAACUGGAGACAAAGUGCACCGAGGGUCUGCAGGCUGCAGACGCACCUGACGCUCUGCAGACGUGUCAAGGUCACUAGCGACAGAAAGAUGGAGGAAUCGGCUCGGGCACAGACUGACCCUGGGUCUUGGAACAGAAAACGGGUCUGGGGGCAAAGGGAGAUGUCUGAGUAAAGCCAGUUUGCUUGGUACAGGUGGCACACACCUGUAAUCCUAGCUGCCGGUAGGCUGAGGCAGGAGGACCACAAGUUCAAGGCCAGCCAUGUCAUAAAAUCAAAUCAAAACUAAAAAGGGCUGAAGGUCUCC
rnacentral:lncRNA from 1 species